rnacentral:rRNA from 1 species
AUUGAACGCUGGCGGCAGGCCUAACACAUGCAAGUCGAGCGGAGCGGCGGACGGGUGAGUAAUGCCUAGGAAUCUGCCUGGUAGUGGGGGAUAACGUCCGGAAACGGGCGCUAAUACCGCAUACUAUCAGAUGUGCCCAGAUGGGAUUAGCUAGUUGGUGGGGUAAAGGCUUACCUAGGCGACGAUCCCUAGCUGGUCUGAGAGGAUGAUCAGCCACACAGGAACUGAGACACGGUCCAGACUCCUACGGGAGGCAGCAGUGGGGAAUAUUGGACAAUGGGCGAAAGCCUGAUCCAGCCAUGCCGCGUGUGUGAAGAAGGUCUUCGGAUUGUAAAGCACUUUAAGUGGGGAGGCGUUACCCACAGAAGAAGCACCGGCUAACUUCGUGCCAGCAGCCGCGGUAAUAC